rnacentral:rRNA from 1 species
GCUACGGGUGGCAGCAGUAGGGAAUAUUGCUCAAUGGGGGAAACCCUGAAGCAGCAACGCCGCGUGGAGGCUGGAGGUUUUCGGAUUGUAAACUCCUUUUGUUAGAGACGAUAAUGACGGUAUCUAACGAAUAAGCACCGGCUAACUCCGUGCAAGCAGUCGCGGUAAUACGGAGGGGGCAAGCGUUACUCGGAACCACUGGGCUUAAAGAGCGCGUAGGCGGGUUAGAAAGUCAGAUGUGAAAUCCUAUGGCUUAACCAUAGAACUGCAUUUGAAACUGUUAUUAUAGAGUAUGGGAGAGGUAGGUGGAAUUCUUGGUGUAGCGGUAAAAUCCGUAGAGAUCAAGAGGAAUACUCAUUGCGAAGGCGACCUGCUAGAACAUAACUGACGUUGAUGCGCGAAAGCGUGGGGAGCAAACAGGAUUAGAUACCCGAGUAGUC